GAAAUGCGAUAAGUAAUGUGAAUUGCAGAAUUCCGUGAAUCAUUAAAUCUUUGAACGCACAUUGCGCCUGUUGGUAUUCCGACAGGCAUGUCUGUUUGAGAAUCAGUUUAACUAUCAUCCUUGCUUUAGGGCAUUGGUGGACUUGGGAUGCGUGGGCCUGCGCCCACCAACCUGGAAGACAUGUGUGCGCUGAUCUGUGCAAGAAGCAGCCCAAAGGCAUGACCAAGAACGCAAGUUCACUGAUUGCUGACUAGGACUGUGGGCAGUGCAAGGAGGAGCCAAAACACUUACGAAGCGCUAGCGCUUUAAGACUCGAUCUCAAAUCAGACAAGACUACCCGCUGAACUUAA
rnacentral:misc_RNA from 1 species